rnacentral:rRNA from 1 species
ACUCAAAUGAAUUGACGGGGGUCCGCACAAGCGGUGGAACAUGUGGUUUAAUUCGACACUACGCGAGGAACCUUACCUAGGUUUGACAUGCAUAUGACCGCUACAGAGAUGUAGUUUUCUAAGGGAAACCUUAGACAUUUGCACAGGUGCUGCAUGGCUGUCGUCAGCUCGUGUCGUGAGAUGUUGGGUUAAGUCCUAUAACGAGCGCAACCCUUGCCGACAGUUGCUAUUCGAAAGAAGCACUCUGUUGGGACUGCCUGGGAAACCAGGAGGAAGGUGGGGAUGAUGUCAAGUCCGCAUGGUCCUUAUGCCUAGGGCAACACACGUGUUACAAUGGCCAAUACAAAGGGUAGCAAACUCGCAAGGGGAAGCCAAUCCCAUAAAGUUGGUCUAAGUUCAGAUUGAGGUCUGCAACUCGACCUCAUGAAGUUGAAAUCGCUAGUAAUCGCAUAUCAGAACGAUGCGGUGAAUACGUUCUCGGACCUUGUACACACCGCCCGU